AUGAUAGCUGGAGCAGACUUAUCUGUUGCAAGUCUGAAAAGUCUUUAAAUCCAGUUGUGGAAGCUCUUCACAGAAUCCUCAAGGAAAAGAUCAAGAUGAGGUCCAACAUCUGUGGAGUUGGCUGUAUCUCAUGGAAUUAAAACAAUAAAGGCUUGAUGCAGUAAAGAAGAGGCAGCAGGACAGGUUUUCUGGGGAGGUCA